rnacentral:rRNA from 1 species
AUUGAACGCUGGCGGCAGGCCUAACACAUGCAAGUCGAACGAGUGGCGGACGGGUGAGUAAUGUCGGGGAAACUGCCUGAUGGAGGGGGAUAACUACUGGAAACGGUAGCUAAUACCGCAUACCAUCAGAUGUGCCCAGAUGGGACUAGCUAGUUGGUGGGGUAACGGCUCACCAAGGCGACGAUCCCUAGCUGGCCUGAGAGGAUGACCAGCCACCAUGGAACUGAGACACGGUCCAGACUCCUACGGGAGGCAGCAGUGGGGAAUAUUGCGCAAUGGGCGAAAGCCUGAUGGAGCAAUGCCGCGUGUAUGAAGAAGGCCUUCGGGUUGUAAAGUACUGUCAGCGGGGAGGCGUUACCCGCAGAAGAAGCCCCGGCUAACUCCGUGCCAGCAGCCGCGGUAAUUC